CCCGGUAGCUUCUGUUGAGCAACAGCUUGAUAUUUUUUGACCGGAAGUAAUCUCACUCCCUUCGUUUUCUGGACAAGCAUUACCGCGUAUAGAGCUUUUUUAAGGUAAAACAUAAUAGUCACAAAAAAAAAAAAAGUAGGUUAUAUUUA